rnacentral:lncRNA from 1 species
CAUAAUUUCUCCAUCCUAACUCGUUUUCUCCUAAAACUUGACGAGUGUUUAUGUAAUUAAAUUACACAUAAAAAUAUUAUCAACACAGAGUUUAGCUAUACAGUCCAAUUCUCAGUCCUUGCAUUAUCCACCCUUAACGGAAGUUUCGUCCCCGAAACUUGACCAUGUACCCACCAUAAUCAAAUUCGGAUAUUACUCCACCACUGCGGUAUCACCUUUGA